CACUACCACCAGCCCUCAGAUCACUCCAGCUCCAUUCUGGCUGUCAGCCACCUCUAGCCUCAUGUUUUGGGCUCAGGACUGAAGUUUUGGUCAAAGCUUUCCCCGUCCUCCUCCUUCUCCUCCUUUCCAACCAGCCCAGGGAGAGUCACAGCAGCCCAUGGCCACUCUCCUCUGCCUGGUUUGCACAUUCAUAGUCCCAGUAACAGCCAGUGACCAUAUCAGCUAAUGUUCCUCUGCCCUGGCUGGGCAAAGCCCAGUUCGUUCACAUGGGCUUUUCUUCUCACUCCUGUCCCACCCCAGAUAAGCCCUGGGCUCCUGUCCCAGCUCAGGGCUGUGGCAUAGAAGUGUAUGAACUGAUAGGGGUGCCAGGCCCUUGGUGGGUCCCCCAGCCCUCCCCACCUGGCCUCUGCUGCUUUUGGGGAAAGGUUCCCAUAUCUGGCAGAGCAAAGAGACCCUCAUGGACCCCUGUUAGAUCUGAGAUCCUGCCACAUCCAGGACUCUGACAGAUCCCUGCCACAUCCCUACAGCUGUCCUGGUUUUGAUCAACCUUCUCUACCAAAAGCACUGGCACAGGAGCUCAGCCAGCAGCACCAAUGGCCAGUGCUCCUCAUCCCCAGCCAGUGAAGGUUCCUCGGCUCUGCUCUCUGCUGUGCCGUGUUGGGAGACAAGGAGGAAGCCCUGAAGAGCAGCAACACUUAAGGAAACUCUUUGAAGGCUGUUGCAGAAAGCGGUGCCUCCCUUGGCCAGCCUUUCCCAUCGCUCCCGCUGCACAAUGCCAAAGCUUUCCCGCGCCAUCACGGCUCAUCGCCGUCAACCCUCGUCAUCCUCGUCCUCCAGGAGCGGCUCUGGCUGCAGACGCACGAUGCCCUACCAGCCAUUUCUUCUGUUUCCCAUGGGGAUUCCACACUGGUUCAUCCCAGGAGCCAGGAUGGGGCCAAACCGUGCUCCAUGACCUCUUCCCUCCUUCCCCACUGCUGCCAUUUGUGAUUCCUGUUCACAGCACUGGGGUUUUCUACCAGGGAACUGGCACUGCCUGGAUCAGCCAUCCCUUCUCCUGGCUUCGUGGUGCUGGCUGGAAUGGGGAAGUGGUACCUCUGGAACCCAGGAUGUUUCCUACCUUCCUGCUGAGCUGCUCCGAGCCAGGCCCAGAGCCUCCCACUCGUCUGGAGGGUGUUAACGAUGAUGGACAGAGCUCAGGGAUGGACAUCAGUCCUGUGAUGUGGACACGUUCAUGGCUGAGUAGGUCCUGCAGGUGGGAACGUGGUCCUGGCUCCAUCCUCGUGGUCCAGGGAUGGAUGUGGCAGCAAGAGAGCAGCAAACAGCCCAGCCCAGCCCUGCUGGAACACUGGACCUUCAAUGUGCUUCUGAUCCCUUGGGUCAUUACUGGCACCAAACAGCAGUUCCAGGAAAAUGAGGAAAAAAGGGGUCUUAGGGAGAAUCUAAAGCUGAAGAGAUCUGGAAAAAAUGGACAGCAAGGCAUGAGAUGAACGACUGGGUUUGAGGGAAAGGAAGCCAAGGUCAUCAUCUUCUCAUUUCCUUCUCAAAGCAAUCCAGAGAGUCCUUCAGGGCAGCUGCAGGAGGAGCACCAGGAGACUGCCCAAGCUCAUUAUUGUGUUGGGAGAACUGUGGGGUUCCCACCCUGGGGAGUAGAGAGGAGACAAAGGUGACCACAGAUGUCAACGCAAACCCAGCUGAGAAGAGAGCAGAAAGGAGCCAUGGAGCAGCAGGUGUGUCCAGAGCUCCUGAAGGAGCUGGGGGUGAACCAGCUGAUCCCCAGACAGAUCCUACCUACCCACUGCCAGAAAGAGUUGUCUGGAGCCUGGCAGAUGUGAUAAUAAAUUUACUUUUCACAUUUCA